rnacentral:rRNA from 1 species
AUACGUAGGGCGCGAGCGUUGUCCGGAAUUACUGGGCGUAAAGGGCGCGUAGGCGGCGCUUCAAGUCGUCUGUCAAAUGGGAGGGCUUAACCCUUUUUCGCAGACGAAACUGGAGAGCUUGAGAAGCAGAGAGGCAAACAGAAUUCCUGGUGUAGCGGUGAAAUGCGUAGAUAUCAGGAAGAAUACCAGUGGCGAAGGCGGUUUGCUGGCUGCAUACUGACGCUGAAGCGCGAAAGCCAGGGGAGCAAACGGGAUUAGAUACCCCGGUAGUCCUGGCAGUAAACGAUGUAUGCUGGGUGUGAGACUAGCGAUAGUUUCGUGCCGAAGUUAACGCGAUAAGCAUACCGCCUGGGGAGUACGGUCGCAAGAUUGAAACUCAAAGGAAUUGACGGGG